CCGAAAGCCUAGAUCUUGCUUGAUUAAUGUAGCCUUUGAGAUUCUCAGCUUCUUGGCAGUGUGUCCCUAAAGAUUCUCUUUCUUCUCCAAGAUACAGAGGAGUAAACAGGUAACUGAAGUAACACAUUCUCAAGAAGUCAAGCUCCAAGGGGCUGCUGGGUGUAAAUAUAUCCUGAAGAUUAGUAUUUAUAAUGUUGAGAUUUGGGCAGCAUCUCAUCAAGCCCUCUGUGGUCUUCCUGAAGACGGAGCUCUCCUUUGCUCUCGUGAACCGGAAGCCAGUCGUCCCAGGGCGUAUCCUUUCAACCAGAGCCUCAAUCAUGAGCGCGUAUGGGCCGUUCAGCGUUCUGUGGAAAAGUGGGAGAUACUCUGCGCGUUCUGAAGGCCAGACAAGGUAUUGAUCUUUGGAUUUCUGUUCAGGAUGCCAUAAGGAGAACUAGCACAAAAGGAGCACGGCAACGUUUGUAAAUAGAUUGAAUGCAAUAUGGAAUGACAGAGACAAACAUCAGAUCUAUGGCAGUACUAUAUCAUACAAAACAUAUUUCAACAGUUAUUGAAUUGGUUAUUAAAAAGAACAGGCUUUCUAACUGGGAACAGUGAGCUGAGAGUUAUCAGGAUCAAGCAAAUUUAAUAGUAAUUUGUGGUGGACAGUGUGGCCCCUUCAACAAGAGUGCGUGCAUGUGCAUGUAAUAAAU
rnacentral:lncRNA from 1 species